rnacentral:rRNA from 1 species
GAUGAACGCUGGCGGCGUGCCUAAUACAUGCAAGUCGAGCGAAGCGGGGACGGGGGAGUAACAUGUUGAUAACCUCCUAUAAGACUGGGAUAACUUCGGGAAACCCGAGCUAAAUCGGAUACUUAUAGAUGGAUCCGCGCUGCAUGAGCUAGUUGGUAAGGUAACGGCUUACAAAGCAAACGAUGCAUAGCCGGCCUGAGAGAGUGAUCGGCCGAACUGGAACUGAGACACGGUCCAAACUCCUACGGGAAGCGGCAGUAGUGAAUGUUCCGCAAUGGGCGAAAGCGUGACAGAGCGACGCCGCGUGAGUGAGGAGGGGCUUAAGUUGGUAGGACUCUGUUAUUAGGGAGGCGGUACCUAAUCAGAAAGCCACGGCUAACUACGUGCCAGCAGCCGCGGUAAUAC